rnacentral:rRNA from 1 species
GGAAUCUUCGGCAAUGGGGGGCAACCCUGACCGAGCAACGCCGCGUGAGUGAAGAAGGUUUUCGGAUCGUAAAGCUCUGUUGUAAGAGAAGAACGUGUGUGAGAGUGGAAAGUUCACACAGUGACGGUAACUUACCAGAAAGGGACGGCUAACUACGCGCCAG